rnacentral:rRNA from 1 species
UGAAGAAGGCCCUCGGGUCGUAAAGCUCUUUUAUGGGGGAAGAUGAUGACGGUACCCCAUGAAUAACCACCGGCUAACUACGUGCCAGCAGCCGCGGUAACACGUAGGGUGCGAGCGUUGUUCGGAAUUACUGGGCGUAAAGGGCGUGCAGGCGGAUAGGUCAGCCGGAGGUGAAAGCCCGGGGCUCAACCCCGGAGGGUCUUUCGGAACUGCCUGUCUAGAGAGAGUCAGGGGCCAGCGUAAUUCCUGGUGUAGAGGUGAAAUUCGUAGAGAUCAGGAGGAACACCGGCGGCGAAAGCGGCUGGCUGGGACUACUCUGACGCUGAGGCGCGAAAGCGUGGGGAGCAAACAGGAUUAGAUACCCUGGUAGUCCACGCCGUAAACGAUGGGCACUAAGCGU